CAAUAGCGUAUAUUAAAGUUGUUGCAGUUAAAAAGCUCGUAGUUGGAUUUGUGGCGUACGGUGUGUUCCGGGCACUUGUUGUCUGAGUAACCUGCUGUUGCCAUCCUUGGGUGGAACCUGUGUGGCAUUAGGUUGUCGUGCAGGGGAUGCCCAUCAUUUACUGUGAAAAAAUUAGAGUGUUCAAAGCAGGCUUAUGCCGUUGAAUAUAUUAGCAUGGAAUAAUGAGAUAGGACUUUCUUGCUAUUUUGUUGGUUUGCGCAAGGAGGUAAUGAUUAAUAGGGACAGUUGGGGGUAUUCGUAUUCCAUUGUCAGAGGUGAAAUUCUUGGAUUUUUGGAAGACGAACUACUGCGAAAGCAUUUACCAAGGAUGUUUUCAUUAA
rnacentral:rRNA from 1 species